UACAGAGGGUGCGAGCGUUAAUCGGAAUUACUGGGCGUAAAGCGCGCGUAGGCGGCUUAUUAAGUCAGAUGUGAAAUCCCCGGGCUCAACCUGGGAACUGCAUCUGAUACUGGUAAGCUAGAGUUUUGGAGAGGGAAGUAGAAUUUCAGGUGUAGCGGUGAAAUGCAUAGAGAUCUGAAGGAAUACCAGUGGCGAAGGCGACCUCCUGGCCAAAAACUGACGCUGAGGUGCGAAAGCGUGGGUAGCAAACGGGAUUAGAAACCCUAGUAGUCC
rnacentral:rRNA from 1 species